AAGGAAAAAAAAGAGGUGGGUUCGGCUGGAGUCCCUGCGGCCGCCGCCGCUGCCGCCGCUGCCCGGCCCCCGCCCCUUUCCCGUCCUCUAGCAUCAAGGCCGGGCGGCCGGGUGGCCAUGGCCUUGGCUUGACAGAGCGUCCCGGGCGGCUGGGGGAGAGCGGACGGCAGGGCCGGACGACCCCCGCGGGAACCGGGGGCCCAGAGACCCCGCCCGGGCGGCAGUGAGCACAGCGGGGCCCCGAGGCUUCGGGCCAGCUCGGCAGCGGCGCCGGCAGGAAACGGGGUCCCCGGGCCCCUUUGUGUGCAGGGCGGGGGAGGGGUGGCGGGCAGCCCCCGGCCGCGAGGCCCCCGCCCCUUCCCGCGUGGGGGUGCGCGGCGGCUCCCCACCCUUGCUCGGCCGCUCGCCGGCGCUCCCUUCUCCCCACGCCCCCCGGGCCGGCCCUAGGUUCCUAUAGGAAGGGCAUUACCCUCCCAUCCCCACCCACCCGACACUUGGCUCUUUCCCCUCCCCCUCCUGUAACUUCCUCCUCGUCCCCGGUUGGGCCCUCUGCUUCUCUGCACUCUCCUCCCCAGUUCGCACAUUUCCGCCCACCUUCCGCCUCGCCUUGCCGCAGCGCAGCUAGCGGGGUGUUAUUUUUCCCCCCCCCUUGGGUAGGAGUUGGUGAAGGUGAGACUCAUGAGGGAAUACAAGGUGGUGGUGUUAGGGAGUGGAGGGGUUGGCAAAUCUGCCCUCACUGUGCAGUUUGUCACUGGGACUUUCAUUGAGAAAUAUGACCCCACCAUUGAAGAUUUCUACCGCAAAGAGAUCGAAGUGGACUCUUCCCCCUCAGUGUUGGAAAUUCUGGACACCGCAGGGACCGAGCAGUUUGCCUCCAUGAGAGAUCUGUACAUCAAAAACGGCCAAGGUUUCAUCCUGGUGUAUAGUUUGGUUAACCAACAGUCCUUUCAGGAUAUCAAGCCAAUGAGAGAUCAGAUUGUGAGAGUGAAGAGAUACGAAAAAGUUCCACUGAUCCUAGUAGGGAACAAAGUGGACCUGGAACCAGAGAGAGAGGUUAUGUCUUCAGAAGGCAGAGCUCUGGCUCAAGAAUGGGGCUGUCCUUUUAUGGAAACAUCAGCAAAAAGUAAAUCAAUGGUGGAUGAACUUUUUGCUGAGAUCGUCAGGCAAAUGAACUAUUCAUCCCUGCCCGAGAAGCAAGAUCAGUGUUGUACAACUUGUGUUGUCCAGUAAAAAAAGAACCUCAAUCAUGGCCAUACCGAGCAGCAUAAAGCCAUCAUCAUUCAAUGCAGAAAACCUUUUUAAACUGCAGAUAAGCAGAACAAAGAUAAAACUCAGAGGAAAUUUGCACAGAUGCUGCUUUGGAGAACUUUACAACCUGGGUUGCAGAACUGAGCCUUGGUAAACCUGUCUCUAUCACAGCAUGUUGCCAUACAUCUAAUGAAGUGCAGAAGGUCUUUGGCCCUCAAGAUCCAAGGACCCUAACAGUAAUGCUUAGCACGUUUACCAUACAUUUAAAAUCUCUUCUUUAUCAAUCCGUCCUUUUCUAGCUUUUUAAGUUCUUAUUGAUGGCUAAUAUGAAAGGAUUAAUUUUAAUAUGUUAAUUGAUUUCUUUAAUCAGUUUCUCAACUUGUAUUUAUUACUCAAACUCAGUAUUACCUACUCAAUGCCUUUUAAAAGAAAGAUAUAAUGGAGAAAAAAUUGAGCCUUAAACAAAUGGUUACUUCUGUAUAUUACCUCGUACCAAUGCUUCAUCCUAUUUGUAAAAUCUUUCUCCUUUAAAUGGUUGGUUAAUACUUUGAGACUUUGUUUACAUGUGGCAGUGUUGUAAAAAGAAACUAAAGAUCACAUUUUACCUGUAUGGAUGAAUUUCCCUUUUCUUCAAGUGCAGUUUGUGAUGCGUUUUGUAAUUACCAAUCUGCAAGUUACAGGUGAUAUUGGGAGUUGACUGUACGGCAUUUACUUGAAGAGUUUAUUGGAUUCCAUUAGGCCUUCACAUGUGUUAAUCUCAUUCACAGCAUUGAAUUGCGGUAGUAACAUUUUCCUUUCUGUGAAGUUCUAAACUUAGUUAUGACCUACUUAGCAAUGCCUUUGAAAAGGGAUAUUGUGUCCAUGGUAAAUUAAUUGUAUACCUAAACAGAGAUAGCUCAGCUUUGCCUGGCAGGCUUGUCAUUGGCAUCUGGUAGACUUCUGCACAUGUAAAAUUGAAUUCAAAUAAAAUCAUGUACACUUUCUAGUUCCUAAUAUUUGUCUUUCUGAACACAGUUUCAAGCAAUAUUUGUGAAUGUUUUCUUGCACUAUCACAACUGCUUUUUAGUUUUCAAGAAGCAUGUUCGUAGUAGAGACAAAAAUCUGUGUAACAGGAGGGAGAAUAGCGCCAAGUCUCUGGCUCUUUUUUUUUUAUUUUUGCAAAUGUGCUUUCUAAUAGCCAUUGCCUUCCAUGUUGUUUACCUAAUCAGCACAUUUUGUCUGAAUACUUGAACAUUUUAUCAGUAACACAGGUAUAGGAACAGAAAAAAAAAACUUACAAUGAGUAAUUUUUUGGUUUGGUUUUAACAUCCUGAGCAGUGCUUUUUCUAGCAGUGAUUUUUCAAUUGUGUAAGUUUGACAGUAUUUUGUUCUUGAGUUUUUAUUAGGUUUUAUUUGUGUGCUUUUAAUUUGCAGAAGCUAGUAACUGCAGCUCACCUACUGCGCCAAAGUUCUCCAUUUUAGGAGCCCAGCUUUAGUCAUUUGAACAUGCUUCUAAAUAAAAGAAAACCAAAACUAUACUUUUGAUCUAUAAUAAUAGCUCAAUAACUUUGUCAAGAAAAGCUCUACUAUAUGCAGUGAUGGUUUGUGGAAGGGUGUGGCAGUUUUAAAUUUGUAUUGUGUGUGGUGUUCAAAUAAAGUGAUAUCUACAUUCAUGUGAUUUAUUGGUCAGCAUGGCCACUGAUAAAUGAGUAGAAAAUGAUUAAGCUUUCAUUUCCUUUUUUUAAAUCGUGUUGCAUUUGAUUCCUGAUCAGAUUCCCUCAAAGUGAGCUCCUGUUCUUCAAUUUGGGAUUGGAUGGUGAGAUUAUAAGGGUAGAGGCAAUUGAAACAUUGUUCCUUAUUUACAAACUGCUUGAAAUGAAUACUUACUUUACAUUUGCACUUUAAAAACACACACUCAUUUCUGAGUAGCUUAAGUGGUUGUGGCUCAUCGUUACUAGCUCCGUGAAAUCCUAAAGGAAUCAAAUCAUUCAUGAUGACUUCAGUUUUCUGCAGAUUGAUUUUUAGACAGUGUUUCUUUCCUAUGGAGAUUCUUCCCUCCUUCCCUUCUUCACCUUCUGUCACCUCUAUCUCUACCACAGUGCUCAUUGCCAUUGACCUCAGCAGCAAAUUUCAUGUGGAUUCACUUAGGAUCACAGGAAUCAGGGGAAAAGUGAUUUUAAAGGUGGUUUCUCCAGCACAUUUUAAGAAAAGGGACCAAAAGUUAUUUUAGCUUCCUCAAUAGAUUGCAUGUUGCUUAUUAGGAUAAGAAAUGAAUAUUAAAUGCAAUAUAUGUCUUGUCUUUACUAUGGCAUCUGUUUAGGAGUUGUUCAAAUCACUGCAGUAGGGCUCUGCAAAUAAAAUCAUGUAACCUAUUAUCAUGGGUCUAAUGUACUGUAACUUUAUCAGUGAACGGUAAAAUCUCGAUUAACAAGUACAAACAUUGAACAAUUACCUAUGAAGAUUUGUAAAAGUAAAAAUUUUUCCAAUAGAUUUCAUUCUUGUCAUUUUGUAAGACGACCCUGCAGUCCACCUGUUUGUAACUUUUUUAAUAAAAUAGAUAUCUGUA